CAGCAGCCGCGGUAAUACAGAGGAUGCAAGCGUUGUUCGGAUUUAUUGGGCGUAAGGGGUGCGUAGGCGGUUUGGCAAGUUUGGUGUGAAAUCUUCGGGCUCAACUCGAAGUCUGCAUCAAAAACUGCCGGGCUUGAGUAUGGGAGAGGUGAGUGGAAUUUCCGGUGUAGCGGUGAAAUGCGUAGAUAUCGGAAGGAACACCUGUGGCGAAAGCGGCUCACUGGACCAUUUCUGACGCUGAUGCACGAAAGCUAGGGGAGCAAACAGGAUUAGAUACCCCGGUAGUCCCUGUCUCUUAUAC
rnacentral:rRNA from 1 species